UUUGGGCUUCAAGAAUCCAGAAAAUAAAAAUCGCUGUUGCAAAGUAACCCUAAAAUCGCUAGCCUCCUCCUCAAAACCCCAUCUCCAUUGAAGCUCAACCUAAGUUCUUCAUCUAUUUCAGCAACGGAUGUCUCUGUAAAUCUACGAACUUUCUUUCAAUCUUGAUUUACUUCAGUCAUCGUAGUUAUCCUCUGUUAGCAUCACAUCGAAUUACGAAGAUGAAAUCAGAGCUCGUUUGCUUCGUAAUUUGGAUUGAAUGUGCUCCGAUUUCAAUUCAAUGCAUCUCAAUCAUGUGAAUCGAUCAGGUGCAAAGUUAUAGGGUGACUUGUGAUAACAACAAGACGGAUGGAGACGGGACUUAGUUCUUUUUAUUUAUAUAUAUUUUGUUUUUUCUACGGUUUAUUGAUGUAAUUUAUACACCCGUUAUGUUUUUAGGAAUGAAAAUUGGGAUUUUUUACAAA